rnacentral:tRNA from 1 species
GCUGGCGUGGUCGAGUGGUUAUGGUGUGCGCGCGCUCUGAAAACGUUUUUGCUCAUGGUCAUGGGUUCGAAUCCCGUCGGUGGCA